rnacentral:rRNA from 1 species
UACGGAAGGGGGCUAGCGUUGCUCGGAAUCACUGGGCGUAAAGCGCACGUAGGCGGAUUGUUAAGUCAGGGGUGAAAUCCUGGAGCUCAACUCCAGAACUGCCUUUGAUACUGGCAAUCUAGAGUCCGGAAGAGGUGAGUGGAACUCCUAGUGUAGAGGUGGAAUUCGUAGAUAUUAGGAAGAACACCAGUGGCGAAGGCGACUUACUGGACACAUAUUGGCGCUGAGGUGCGAAAGCGUGGGGAGCAAACAGG